ACAUCCAGAGAAUUUAGCAGAGAUGCUUUAGUGCCUUCGGGAACUCUGAGACAGGUGCUGCAUGGCUGUCGUCAGCUCGUGUUGUGAAAUGUUGGGUUAAGUCCCGNAACGAGCGCAACCCUUAUCCUUUGUUGCCAGCACGUAAUGGUGGGAACUCAAAGGAGACUGCCGGUGAUAAACCGGGAGGAAGGUGGGGAUGACGUCAAGUCAUCAUGGCCCUUACGAGUAGGGCUACACACGUGCUACAAUGGCGCAUACAAAGAGAAGCGACCUCGCGAGAGCAAGCGGACCUCAUAAAGUGCGUCGUAGUCCGGAUUGGAGUCUGCAACUCGACUCCAUGAAGUCGGAAUCGCUAGUAAUCGUAAAUCAGAAUGUUACGGUGAAUACGUUCCCGGGCCUUGUACACACCGCCCGUCACACCAUGGGAGUGGGUUGCAAAAGAAGUAGAUAGCUUAACCUUCGGGAGGGCGUUUACCACUUUGUGAUUCAUGACUGGGGUGAAGUCGUAACAAGGUAAGCGUAGUGCU
rnacentral:rRNA from 1 species